rnacentral:lncRNA from 1 species
CGUGUGUAACCUGUUUUUCCAGGUCAACCUUCUACAAACUGUUUCCACACGUGUGCAGUCCUAGUUGGGGUAAAGAUGGAGUGGCAUAUGUUCAAAAGAAGCUGACAACCACCAGGCACUUGAGGGUCCCUCUCUCAAAUUGAGAGCGCAGCCUGAGUCAGCUGACAUGGGGAGGUGAUGGGGUGACACUUCUGCGUUAGUCCACGUCUAUCAAGAAGCAACACCAAGCAGGUUUAGAUGCACACAGGAUUUACUGGGGGAGAAAGCAAGGGAAGCCUUCCGAUCUCGGCGCAGAUGUGUACCUAUGGAAGGAGAGAGGAAAGGACAGAGAACCACAUACAGGUGUGCCUCAGGCCACUCUGCAAAGGCGAAUGCCGGCGGCAGUGUACUCCGCUUUGACAACCGGGACUUUGGACCUUGGGCAAGCUCCGGUGCUACCUCCUUCCCUGAGGAGAGUCCUCUCUGAGGCCCUUCCGCACCGCCAGGCUGAUUCCUUUGCUCUGGGCCAGACCGAACAUUUAGCAGUUCCAUCGCCAAGUGUGAGUAGGAUUCAGCUGAAUCGUCACAUCUGCAGGACUGGAUAA